CAGCAGUCGCCGCGGGAAUACGUAGGGUGCAAGCGUUAAUCGGAAUUACUGGGCGUAAAGCGUGCGCAGGCGGUUAUAUAAGACAGAUGUGAAAUCCCCGGGCUCAACCUGGGAACUGCAUUUGUGACUGUAUAGCUAGAGUACGGCAGAGGGGGAUGGAAUUCCGCGUGUAGCAGUGAAAUGCGUAGAUAUGCGGAGGAACACCGAUGGCGAAGGCAAUCCCCUGGGCCUGUACUGACGCUCAUGCACGAAAGCGUGGGGAGCAAACAGGAUUAGAUACCCGCGUAGUCCCUGUCUCUUAUAC
rnacentral:rRNA from 1 species